UACGGAGGGGGCUAGCGUUGUUCGGAAUUACUGGGCGUAAAGCGCACGUAGGCGGCUUUGUAAGUUAGAGGUGAAAGCCCGGGGCUCAACUCCAGAACUGCCUUCGAUACUGAGAGUCUUCGAGUUCGGGAGAGGUGAGUGGAACUGCGAGUGUAGAGGUGAAAUUCGUAGAUAUUCGCAAGAACACCAGUGGCGAAGGCGGCUCACUGGCCCGAUACUGACGCUGAGGUGCGAAAGCGUGGGGAGCAAACAGG
rnacentral:rRNA from 1 species